rnacentral:lncRNA from 1 species
CGAGUCCCAGAGUGCUUUACAUUCUUUAUUCAAAUUAGGACUUUGAGGUCAGCAUUCUUUUAGGUGUAACACGCACAGAAAAAUCAUACAGCAGAGCAGCAAACAGAAACCCCCCACCCAAAUCUUCAGCAUUGAAGACAUUCUCAACCCCCCAAAUAUAACUGUCCUUUUAAAAAUCGAGGAGAAGCAUGAGGACCGGGUCUGGACUGCAGACGCUCUCAGUUUAAAUAAACAGUCUCGAAGUCACAUUGACAGCAAUCUGUUAGUCCGUCCCAAACAUUCCGCCAGGCACAUUGCUCGAGCGAAUCCUCAGACGGAGGUUGAUGAGGUUGUUUUCUCUCACAUUAUUAGAAGGACCUAUACACAAUCCCAUGCAAUCAUGUAAAAUAUCCUGUCUGGAAGAGCAGCCCACUCAUGCAGCUGCUGCACGUCUGAUAAAGGACCCCUCGGCCCCCUGGUUCCAGCUCAGGAAGGCAGACCCUGUGCCAGCCACAGUCACAGUUUGACCCCGAGACCUGCCCCCAUCCCAGACAGGCCUGGCAGCCUCCGCAACGUCCUCUGCCGGGUCAGAGCCAUCAGAGCGGCCUCCCUGAGCUCAGGUGCUUCCAGACAGACCCCAGGUGAGCUAGGCUGCAUUUUCUUUAUUUUUUUUUUAUUUUAUUUUUUUUGCUAUUUCUUGGCCCGCUCCCGAGCGGCCCUAGAAAAGGCAAAAAGACAAAAAAAAAAAAAAAGUGUAAAUGAAUGUGCCUAGCUGGGUUCCUAAAAUACUUGAUCUAUAGACACUGAAACUUGAAUUUCAUACUAUUCUCAUGUGUCACUAGAACAGGAGUCUUUGUUUGAAUUUUUCCAACUGUUUAACAAUGUAAAAAACAAGCUUAGCUCCCAGGCCCUACGAUAAUAGGCUCUGGCCCGUAGGCUGUAUGUAGAAGCCUCCCUGAGAUACCUAUAGAGCAGCAGUGAAACAGCUCCUCCUUAAAGCUGAGCAUCACGCACAGACUGACUGUACUAGCCACGUGCUGGAACCUAUGAAAACAAAAGAAAGAUGAAUUACCAAUAGGUGACCAAGGUGUAAAGAAGUCAGAUCCUUCCAGAGGCUCACUGGCCCCCGCCACCCAUGGCCCCAGCCAUCCAUAGCCCCCUUAUCUUGGCAUCCGCAGACAUCGGCAAUGAAUAAAGGCCAACCAGACUGGUUCCCACAGUCCUAGCCUGUGCUGGGUGCCCAUGGGAUUCAGAGCGGGAUUUUCUUGCUGGGCAUGCUUCAUCAGUCAAGGCCCCACUCCCACCAGUGGCUCCAAGAGGGACAGAAAACCACCUCUCCAUCCCCUCAUCUUGCGGCUUGGAGUCUAGCCAUCCGGAGUCCAGCUUCUCCGACUGCUAAUGGCCCAGAGUCUAGGAGCUACGAUGUGUUUUGCCCACACGAGGGGGCUGGGGGCCAGGACCCGCUGGAGCGGCUCACAGCCAAAGCUUGCUGAUUAC